GGAAGACCGGAAAUUGGGCGAAAAACCCUAAAUUUCGGUAUUAUGAAAUUUUUCGAAGAAGCCGAAAGCUCGGUAAAUAUUUUUCUUCAAGAUCAGAGUCCCAGUAGGGUUUAUUAAAAAUACUCAGGCCAUCAGAACGGGCGUAGAAAAAUAUUUUGGAUUGAUCGCGGGACGAAAAUUCACGGGAAAGGCCAAAAUCGGCCGAAUCGACCGAGAAGCUUGAGGUGGCUUGAUGUGUAUGUGUUCAGGACGUGGUGGCAGGCUCUU
rnacentral:lncRNA from 1 species